CCACAGAUCUAGUUUUCUGCUGAAGGGAGACUCAAGACAUCGCUGGAGAAAGUCCUGGACUCCUGGAUCCUGUUUCUUUUGGUCAAGAAGAGCUUUGGCUGCCAGCUGGUUACUACAGUAGCCUUCGUAGGCAUUCAAGCCUGGCAACUGAAGAGUGACACGAGAAAACAAAGUAUGUUCCUGGAUCAAGUGGUUCUGAUAUUCAUUACAAUGACAAGUGUGGCAUGUACUUGUGAAAAACUAUCUGGAGUAAAAUACUACAUACCCAGUUCACAAGAAUGUGACCAAUCUGCUCCACUAUCCCAUCAGGCUUGGUUGCUUCUCCUAUUCUUGCCAACAAAUCUGAAGCAUAAGAAAGCAGAAAUACCAAGAAGAGGUUUAUUUUAGAAAUAAUGCAGCACUAAAUUAGAAGUUUAGAUUUAAACUUCCUUUUAUUCCUGCUGUUCAAGAUUCUAAAGAAAAUUAAGUAGCAUAUCUCACCUUCAUGCAAAGUUAAAGACUCUCUAAUGUUGACGCCUAACGUCUCUGACCACAGGACGCUACUUCUCCUUUUGGCAGGCAUUGGGACUCUCGAGCUGCAUGAUGACUUUUGGGCAGAAGCUGGGAAUCUGCUCUCACCAUGAUGAGUAAAUGGCUUAACAGAAGAAUAAAAGAGGUGAACAAAAGAGAAAAGCUUUGGAGGACAUGGUAAUUAUUCCUCUUUUUCUUAAAAAAAAA